CCUACGGGUGGCAGCAGUGAGGAAUAUUGGUCAAUGGACGCAAGUCUGAACCAGCCAAGCCGCGUGCAGGAAGACGGCCCUAUGAGUUGUAAACUGCUUUUGUACGAGGGUAAACGCAGAUACGCGUAUCUGUCUGCAAGUAUCGCACGAAUAAGGAUCGGCUAACUCCGUGCCAGCAGCCGCGGUAAUACGGAGGAUUCAAGCGUUAUCCGGAUUUAUUGGGUUUAAAGGGUGCGUAGGCGGUCGGAUAAGUUAGAGGUGAAAUCCCGAGGCUCAACGUCGGAAUUGCCUCUGAUACUGUUCGGCUAGAGAGUAGUUGCGGUAGGCGGAAUGUAUGGUGUAGCGGUGAAAUGCUUAGAGAUCAUACAGAACACCGAUUGCGAAGGCAGCUUACCAAGCUACUUCUGACGUUGAGGCACGAAAGCGUGGGGAGCAAACAGGAUUAGAUACCCUAGUAGUC
rnacentral:rRNA from 1 species